rnacentral:miRNA from 1 species
AUGUAUGUAAGUAUGCAUGUAUGCAUGCAUGCAUGCACGUAUGUAUGACUGUAUUUACGUGUGUGU